rnacentral:tRNA from 1 species
UCCUCGGUAAGUGUAGUGGUUAGUAUUCCCGCAUGUCCCGUGGGCGACCGGGGUUCGAUUCCCAGCCGGGAAG